UACGAGGGGGGCAAGCGUUGUUCGGAAUUAUUGGGCGUAAAGGGUGCGUAGGCGGUUUUGUAAGUCUUGUGUGAAAUCUUCAGGCUCAACUUGAAGACUGCACGAGAAACUGCAGGGCUUGAGUGUGGGAGAGGUGAGUGGAAUUCCCGGUGUAGCGGUGAAAUGCGCAGAUAUCGGGAAGAACACCCGUGGCGAAGGCGGCUCUCUGGGACGGUACUGACGCUGAGACGCGAAAGCGUGGGGAGCGAACAGG
rnacentral:rRNA from 1 species